rnacentral:lncRNA from 13 species
GAUAAUUGACAAGAAUAUUCAUGAAUGUGAAUGUGUUUUCAUGAAGGUGUAUUGGAUGCAUGCAUUGCUCUUUCAGUAAACAGGACAUUUUAGUGUUUUCCAUAAUGGCACAAAAUACUUUCACUUUCAACUUUCAACUUUCAUGUUACGAAAGAUCCUGGGUAUAUUCAUUAGUGCACACCGUAGCAAAACAGUUUGCAAAUGAAAAUGAAAACAGGGGAUUCCUAUUGAACAAAUUCUGGUAGGUCCCUCCCGGGUUUGGCCCAUUUGGUUUUGUUUGGUCUCUAUUGAAUACCAGGAAGAUAGGUUUCAUUUCCAUCUAGCCACACCCAUUAUUUCCCAGGAAGAUAGGUUUCAUUUCCAUCUAGCUGCACCAUUUCAAAUAAAUGUGCAACAGAUGUAAGUAAGGGUGUAAACAGAAUCUGAAGUCAGAGCAACUCAGCACUGCCAGUGGAGCAACAUCCAUCCACCAAGAUGGAUAAGAUAUUCAAUCUCCUCGCGCAGCACAGACUGGAGGCCUACUACAAUACAUUCCUCACUUUGGGUGUCCAAGAUGAGAGAGAUUUCAUUGAUGGCGUAAAUGGUGAAGAUUUAGACAAAAUGAAUUUCAGUCAUGUAGAAAAGAAUCGCUUUGAAAAAAUGAAAGAUUUCAUCCAACGACUCAGAGCGCCACAGCAAGCAAUGCCUGUACAGAAAUCGAUGGAGUCUUUCCAUCUGCAGUACACAUAUCCCCACUGUCCUGAGCCAAGAGACAUCAGAGACAUGGAUCCUGCCCAAAACACGGUUGAAGAUCUGAUGCUAAGGAUUUGUCACCAAGAGGCCAUUGGGAAUUCCAGAGCCCUGUGCCUCUACACCAUUGAGGGAAUGCCUCUAACUGAUGAUCCUUUCUUCAACACAUGGUCUUUGAAAGACAGGCACAUUGAAAAUGGAAGUGAGCUUUAUGCCAUAUUUACACCCAAGGAGAACUUGAAACAAGCCCCCCACAUGCCACAACGAGAGAUGACUGACAUCUCAGGAGAGGAGAAUGUUCGAUGCCACAUUAUGCUCAAGGGAGACUAUGAGGUCAAGGUGGACUUGACAAGUGACACAAUUAGAGUCUUGAGACAAAAGCUCUCUAAUGAAAGUGGAAUCCCAGCACAUGUCCUCCUUUAUAAAGGUGAACACGGUGAAACUUUGCAAGAUUGUGGAAUCAAUGAGGAGACAACUGUGCCCUUUUCGUUGUCCUCCUUCCCCGAUGAGAAUCAGGACAACAUGGAAUUCUUCUUGAAUGAUGUUGUACCCUCAGUGCAACAAACCCGGAAAGGACUCAGCGCUUUCUUUUCUUCACUAUACACCGUUAAAGUUCAACAUUCCGGAGAGGGAUUCAAGAAAGUGAAUGCGUACAUUCGAAAGCUCAGUGGAUGUAAUCCCCUGGCACAAAGUUUGUAUCAGCUGUUGUGCAGAAAUGAAAGUGGAAGUAGGACCCAGAAGAUUGCCAUUGUUGAGGGAUUGUACACUCUCUUCAGAGAGCUGUUGCCAAGCCUCGAUAAAAAAAGAGGUGACAAGAUCAUUGAAGACCCCGACGUGUUUGAGAAUGCACCAGUUUGCUGGGCCUACCUGAUAUCUAAAGCAGAGAAAGAGAGUUCCCAACAUGAGGUCUUUGCACCGAUAUGUUUGACCUCUCAACCAGGAGUGCGCUUCAGCGACCCAGUUCAAGUACCUGGACUACCAGAUGUCUUUGAAAGAGAGUAUGUCCUACAGAAAAUUAAAGAUGGAGAAAGAAUCCCAAACUGCUCUGCUGAGAUCCUGACAGAAACUUCAAUGUGGAGAGCUACCGAUGUCGAAAAGAUUUUACUCAGUCUGCCUCCAUCCAUCAAAACCUUCCCUGUUUGGGUUUCAUAUGGACUUGUGACUGGUCAAAACUUUCAGAUCAAACUAGAUGAGACAUUUGCCAAGAUGACUGAAGAAUUGAAUGCUUACCCUCACCUGACAGUCACUCCACCACUGCAGUUGAAGAGUGUAGGAGUGGAUGGGCCACGUCUCAUUCUUUUGAAAGAAGAUAACCUGGGUGUUUACAUUGAAAAAGCCAAAGGAUCUCCUCAGGAGUUCGUUGUUUUUGAUUGCUUAGCUGGGAAACACAAAACUUUGAAUGUGGACGAAUUGGCACAUGAAAUGAGAGAUACCAGAAGUGACCAGACGUUCAUGACCACCAGGACUCCAAAAGAGGCAAUAUUGGUGCUAGUGGAUUCAAGCUCCUCCAUGAAAGAGACAUGCUAUGAUUCAGAUGACAAAAUGACACGGUUGGAUGCAGUCAAACAGCUGUUUGAUAACUUCACAACUAGAAGCAUGGCUUACGAUUUCCAUCAUGUCAUUGGCUUGGUGAAGUUUAACUCAUCAGUUAAGACUCUCCACACAUUUACAGAGACUCUGGAGACCUUUAAGGUGCACAUACACAAUCUUAAGGCAAAUGGACGCACUGUGCUGUAUGAUGCCUUGAAUCAUGGCACAUCUGAACUGGAAAAAGUUGGAAAGCAAUUUCCAGACUGCAGACUUCGCAUCAUAUGUCUCACAGAUGGGAAUGAUGUGGGGUCAAAGACAAAACCACAUGACGUCACAACCAAGUUGAUGCGCUUUAACAUUAUAGUUGAUGCCAUCGUUGUCGGAAAGGUGGAUAACCACAUGCUCCAUGGAAUCAGCAAUGCAACAGGAGGGUGCUGUUUCAAACCAGAGACAGGAACAGCUGGUCUGAAGCUCUUUGAAAUGGAAACAGUUCUAUCUUUGGAGAUGAGGAAGCCUAAGGAAAAAAUGAACCCAUCCUCCAUUACGAGCGAGAGUGUUUUAACUUCUCUCUUCGCCAAAAAUGGCUAUGAUGAGCAGCCAGAGGUUUCUCUACCAAGUGAAUUAAACAGUAAAGUCACUGUGACAGAGAAAUCAUUGAAAAACUAUUCCCAAAAACAAUACAAGUAA